rnacentral:lncRNA from 1 species
AUUUAAAGUACCUAGAAAAUAAAUUUUAUGAUUUUACGAUAUCAUUUGCCUAGUGAACGAAGGGGCUCAAAAUCAUCGGCUGAAAAUAAAAAUUUUACAAAAUGUAAUAAUAUGACAUUAAAAUUUUAAAUCAAAGAUAUUGAUCUUGUUUUAUAUAGUAUAAAGAAUUUUCUAUCAAAAUUUCACGUGAUUUGGAUAUUUCUACACCGUUAAACUUGCAAACGGCUCACUACGGCCAUUGAAAUUUAUUGAUUUUGAGCCCAUUCGAUCACUAGGAAAAUGAUAUCGAAAAAUAAUAAAAUUUAUUUUCUAGGUACUCCAAAUACUCUAGAUCAAGUUUAACGGAGCUGAUCGACGAUUCAAAAGUCGCAACAUCGAAAACGAGCUGGAAGCACGGAAGGCUCCGUGCUUCCGAUAACAUAGUAGCCUCACUCUAUAUAUAUAUAGGCUAAUGCUACUAUCCUAUUAAUAGGAUAGGAGUAUUUGUCCUAUCAAGUUGUUCUUGAUGAUCGAGAUUCCGAAUCGAUGAUCGGAACCGUUUAAGUUGAUCUAGAAUAUUUAAAAUAUCUAGAAACUAAAUUUUAUAAAUUUUGAUAAUGGUUUACAUGGUGAUCAAAGUGUCGUAAAAUCGACAAUUUUUAACAGCCUAUAUGAGCCGUUUGCUUGUUUAACGGUGUAGAGCAAUCCAAAUUGCUUGAAUUUUUAAUAGAAAAUUUUUAUAUUAUUUAGAUAAUGUUUGAUAACUCUUAUUACGAACUGAGAAAGUCUAACCUCCAUUUUAAGAAGGUUAUUCAUUUAUGACAAUUCAUUUUUCAACUCUUAAGAUGAACUUGAUAAUAAUUUUUAAAUAUUAUAAAAUUUGGUUUCUAAACAUUUCUAAUUGUGUAGAUCAACUUCAACGGUGCCGAUUAUCAAUUUGAAGUUCCGAUCAUUCAAAUCAACUUGAUAGGACAAGAGUCCCAAUCCUAUUAAUAGGAUAGUAGCCGGACCCUAUAUAUAUAUAUAUAUAUAUAUAUAUAUGGAGAGAGAGAGAGAGGGAGAGAGAGAGAGAGAGAGAGAGUUCGGCUGGAGUGAUUUUGGCCAUUGGAUCAAUCCUAGCAGCCUUUAUAUCAUGCACAAUGGUGGGCCUCAUAAGUACAUAGUAUUAUUGGCUUUCGAUCUACUAACUUAAAAAAUUAUAAACUCCAAAGUCUUUGUGCUUUUAGAAGCAUUACUAGGAUAGAAAACUUUUAAUAACACAAAGUUGCUUGUGCUUGUAAAUUUUAAGCCCUAAUUAAGAGGUUGUAGGGUUAAAAUGAUAGUGGUUCAUUGGGAUUUAGUCGGUGAUAGGUGAAAUAUCAUAACUCAAUCCCCCACUUACCCUUUUAUUGGACCCCCAACCUUUUACUCGAUUUCGGGAUACCAACCAACUGCACCACUAGUUAGGAAUGUCUUAUUGGUUAUCUUUACUUAUAACAUUAUUACAUAGACAAAAUAUUCCUAAACU